rnacentral:rRNA from 1 species
AAAUUGAAGAGUUUGAUCAUGGCUCAGAUUGAACGCUGGCGGCAGGCCUAACACAUGCAAGUCGAACGGUAACAGGAAGCAGCUUGCUGCUUUGCUGACGAGUGGCGGACGGGUGAGUAAUGUCUGGGAAACUGCCCGAUGGAGGGGGAUAACUACUGGAAACGGUAGCUAAU